rnacentral:tRNA from 1 species
GGUCCCGUCGUCUAGUGGUUAGGACUCAAGGUUUUCAUCCUUGCAACAGGAGUUCGAUUCUCCUCGGGACUACCA